rnacentral:rRNA from 1 species
GACAGGGGGUGCAAACGUUGUUCGGAAUUACUGGGCGUAAAGCGCGUGUAGGCAGCUCUGCAAGUCGGAUGUGAAAGCCCUGGGCUCAACCUAGGAAGUGCAUUCGAAACUGCGGAGCUUGAGUCCUGGAGAGGAAGGCGGAAUUCUCGGUGUAGAGGUGAAAUUCGUAGAUAUCGAGAGGAACACCGGUGGCGAAGGCGGCCUUCUGGACAGUGACUGACGCUGAGA